CGCUGUACUGUACCGUCCUGAAGGGGGCGCACAUACGCUCCCACUCCUGGCUGGAGUCCUGCAUUGUGGGCUGGAGCUCUUCAGUGGGGCAGUGGGUGCGGAUGGAGAACGUUACAGUCCUGGGUGAAGAUGUGAUCGUGAACGAUGAGCUCUACAUCAACGGUGCCAAUGUCCCUGCCUCAUAAAUCCAUCGCAGACUCUGUUCCUGAGCCGCGGAUCAUCAUGUGAAGGACCCUUCACGCCCCUCACAAAGUGCCCGAGUGUGUAACCGCUUGAUGACACGAGAAUCGACCGAUACGCUUAAUGAGCAUGAUGGGAACGGUGUUAUUUGUGAAGAAUCUGAAGUAUGCAGUUACUGACUGUGGUGUUUGAGAAAGUGCUGCCGCAGGAAAAAUCACAUCUACAGUAUAGUAGAUGAUCUCCAGCUGAAAGGCUGCAUCUCACAUUUCUCACCUGUCAAGUGCUGUUUUUUCAUGAUUUCCCUCUGUCUGCAUUGUGUUCCCUAUUACUGACAAUUAGACCAGGACUCACCUUGCUUUGGUGCAUUUUGUUGAUUUUGAGACACUAGUAAGCUGUCUAGUUUGUAUUCUUUUCAUUGUGUUUUUCCAUUUCUAAACGGGGGCAUGUAACGCUUUCAGGAUAAAACUCGGUGCCUGUAGAAAGAAUGAGAAGAAUGUUUAUGUAUCAGAUGAUGCAAAAGCUGAUUACUAUAAAGACUGUUCAUACCUAAAA